GAUGAACGCUGGCGGCGUGCCUAAUACAUGCAAGUCGAGCGAACGGACGAGAAGCUUGCUUCUCUGAUGUUAGCGGCGGACGGGUGAGUAACACGUGGAUAACCUACCUAUAAGACUGGGAUAACUUCGGGAAACCGGAGCUAAUACCGGAUAAUAUUUUGAACCGCAUUGUUCAAAAGUGAAAGACGGUCUUUCUGUCACUUAUCGAGGGAUCCGCGCUGCAUUAGCUAGUUGGUAAGGUAACGGCUUACCAAGGCAACGAUGCAUAGCCGACCUGAGAGGGUGAUCGGCCACACUGGAGCUGAGACACGGUCCAGACUCCUACGGGAGGCAGCAGUAGGGAAUCUGACGCAAUAGGCGAGAGCCUGACGGAGCGACGCGGCGUGAGUGAUGAAGGUCUUCGGAUCGUAAAACUCUGUUAUUAGGGAAGAACAUAUGUGUACGUAAAUGUGCAGAUCUUGACGGUAACUAAUCAGAAAGCCACGGCUAACUACGUG
rnacentral:rRNA from 1 species